UAAAAUGACCUGAAGGCAAACAACAGCAAGAACACAGUUUACAUGAUAGAGCAGAGAUACAGAUACAACUUUCUGAAAUUACGACUAAAACCCUUGUGGAGAAUUUCUGACGUCCAAUUAGAAAGACAUGCAAAGAAAGAACAUAUUUCCACAGAAGAUACAUGGUCUCUCUCAAACAAGCUUAUUACAUUAGAAUAUUUCACAUGGUUUAAAAGUAUAAUUAAUGAUUUACCAUUUAACUGAAAACUAGCAUUCAUUAACUUCAAGCUCACCUGAAAGCAGACAAGGCGAUGUAUUCCUCCCUUCAUAUCACUGGAGGGGAAGUGCCAUGCGAUGGUACCAGACACUCAUGUUUGCCUGGAUUCCUUCCUGGUAGACACCCAAGACCGUUGCAUACGUCUGGCUUCAUCACCUAGAUACUUCCUUCCUGUUUCAAGAUUUCUUGAUAUACAGAAAGAGUAAAAACACAAUUACCAUGAACUCUCACAAAAACAAAAUGGAUUAACAGCAAGAAGGGGCAGACGGUACAUCUGGAACACCCUUUUCACAAUAUAGUUUGGCAACUUCGGAAUUGAAAUAAUGGAAGAUCCAACCGGAGUACUUUUAAGAUUGCAUUUUUAUGCAGGAGUUUCUGGAAAUAAGGUUACAUAUUUUGGCAGGACUUACGUCUGAGCAGUGAUGUGUAAGAUUGCACUUUCAAAGGUAUUAAAUGUUAUUUCUAUACAGUUUUGGGGAUUCUAGAUGCUAGAACUUUAAGAAGAUGAAUCCUUUGGGAGAACCAGUUCUUAAACAUAGAAAAUUGGGCUUACCAUCUAACAUAGUGAUAAAUUAAGAACAAUAUUAUUCUAAUACAGCAAUUAAAAAACAUAAAAAGGACUGAAACACUUUGGCAUAAUUAAUUACUAUUUUAAGUUUAAACAGUAUCAUUUGUGCCAGUUGAAUUUGUGGGACAGUGCACAAUAUUGCUCCCAAAAUAUUUUCUAAUUUUGUGUUUUAAGUUUUUGAUCAUCAGUUUUGUUUGAAUGUUGCUGUAAACCACCUUUUAUCCCAUGUUGGGAAAAGGUGAGAUUCUAAGCAAAUACACGCAUUAUCAGUUUAUGAA